AGGUACUCCGGGGAUAACAGGCUGAUACCGCCCAAGAGUUCAUAUCGACGGCGGUGUUUGGCACCUCGAUGUCGGCUCAUCACAUCCUGGGGCUGAAGUAGGUCCCAAGGGUAUGGCUGUUCGCCAUUUAAAGUGGUACGCGAGCUGGGUUUAGAACGUCGUGAGACAGUUCGGUCCCUAUCUGCCGUGGGCGCUGGAGAACUGAGGGGGGCUGCUCCUAGUACGAGAGGACCGGAGUGGACGCAUCACUGGUGUUCGGGUUGUCAUGCCAAUGGCACUGCCCGGUAGCUAAAUGCGGAAGAGAUAAGUGCUGAAAGCAUCUAAGCACGAAACUUGCCCCGAGAUGAGUUCUCCCUGAGACUUUAGGUCUCCUGAAGGAACGUUGAAGACGACGACGUUGAUAGGCCGGGUGUGUAAGCGCAGCGAUGCGUUGAGCUAACCGGUACUAAUGAACCGUGAGGCUUAACCUUACA
rnacentral:rRNA from 1 species